UGCAUUUUUAACAAGUUCCCAAAUGAUACUGCUGCUGUUGGUCUGGGGAGCAGACUUGGAGAACCACUGCUUUGCAUAUUUAACCUGUUACUGAAGCCUUCCUCCACUUCCUGCUUUAACUGGAAUCUCACCAUCCACUGCCCUUGCAAGUUAAUUCCUGUCUCUUCUUCACUCCAGGUUUCUGUGUCUUCCGUUUCUGGCCUAGGUUCCAUGGUCCACCACUUCAGCCUGUCAUCUCCCUUGACCUCUGGUCCUUUAGUGCAGCUUACCCAGAAGAACCUCAAAGCAAACUCUUCCUCCUCUGCCCCACUUCCCAGACUGCUGAGCCCAUAAAGGUAGUAAAGAGGAAGUCAGAUUCCGAGCUUGAGAAAGAGUUGAUGUGCUGUUCGUGGUGGCUUUAUUUUAAAAUGAAGGGGCCAUAUGGCAAGGAAUUUGGCAGCUUCUCAGAGCUGAGAGCAAUCCCUCACCGACAGCCAGCAAGAAAAUGGGCACCUCAGUCCUACACUUGCAAGGAACUCAAUUCUGCUAAGAGUCGCAAUGACCCUGGACGUGCAUUCUUCUCUAGAGCCUUCAGGAAUGCACACUGAUUGGAAGUAAAGAACAUAGGAUACUACAACCCACCACCCCUGGUCAUAUCCAUCAGUGGAUCUAUGUGCCUGGUCUCCAUUUAUAAAAAAUGGGUAAGGCACAGUCUCUGUCCCCAGGGUAGUUCCUGUUUAUGGGGAAUCCUUCAUCUACUUAUUUAUUAAUGUCCUCAAUUCCACCAUCCUUUCUCCCUUACCCAUAGAUCCUUGGAGAAUACAAGACUGAA